GAUGAACGCUGGCGGCGUGCCUAAUACAUGCAAGUCGAGCGAACAGACGAGGAGCUUGCUCCUCUGACGUUAGCGGCGGACGGGUGAGUAACACGUGGAUAACCUACCUAUAAGACUGGGAUAACUUCGGGAAACCGGAGCUAAUACCGGAUAAUAUAUUGAACCGCAUGGUUCAAUAGUGAAAGACGGUUUUGCUGUCACUUAUAGAUGGAUCCGCGCCGCAUUAGCUAGUUGGUAAGGUAACGGCUUACCAAGGCAACGAUGCGUAGCCGACCUGAGAGGGUGAUCGGCCACACUGGAACUGAGACACGGUCCAGACUCCUACGGGAGGCAGCAGUAGGGAAUCUUCCGCAAAGGGCGAAAGCUUGACGGAGCAACGCCGCGUGAGUGAUGAAGGUCUUCGGAUCGUAAAACUCUGUUAUUAGGGAAGAACAAAUGUGUGAGUAACUAUGCACGUCUUGACGGUACCUAAUCAGAAAGCCACGGCUAACUACGUG
rnacentral:rRNA from 1 species